AGUAUCUGGCUCAGGAUGAACGCUAGCUACAGGCUUAACACAUGCAAGUCGAGGGGCAGCAUGGUCUUAGCUUGCUAAGGCUGAUGGCGACCGGCGCACGGGUGAGUAACACGUAUCCAACCUGCCGUCUACUCUUGGCCAGCCUUCUGAAAGGAAGAUUAAUCCAGGAUGGGAUCAUGAGUUCACAUGUCCGCAUGAUUAAAGGUAUUUUCCGGUAGACGAUGGGG
rnacentral:rRNA from 1 species